UCAUUCGCACACGUCAUCCGCAUCACUUUGAAUACUGAUCUAAAUUCGCAUGGUGCGUUCCGCGCUCUGGGAAUUUACGGGUGGUACUUCGGUGGAUCAGUGUGUGCUUGCACCUCUGACCUGCUGGUGGCUACUCCUUCCUCGCUAAACCUGCUUACUCAGUAUCGUAUGUGUGAAUGUCUUUUGAAAAUCUUCAGCGACGGAUGUCUCGGCUCAGGCAACGAUGAAGGGCGUAGCGAAGUGCGAUAAGCAUUUUGAAUUGCAGAGUUCCGUGAGUCAACAGAAACUUGAACGCAUGUUGCGCUUUCAGGAAAUUCCUGACAGCACGCCUGCUUCAGUGCCUACUGCGUUUGCUUCCAGUCACAGCCAGUCCGUUCACGCGGCGGUGGUGACUGUGUAUCACUGUGCGUCAAAGAGCUCGUUUGAACCUUUGUCGUGCGCAAUACAGUAUUGGGGUGGUAGCAUUCCUAUGGCGAGUAGCUUGGUAAACCUUUUUGUGGUAAUUUCCUGCCCGGCGCCAUUGAGGAAGCUCCCUUGUAUGGGGUAUAACUUCUGUCUACCUACUCCCUUUUCUCAAGGCAU
rnacentral:misc_RNA from 1 species